GAUGAAGAACGUAGCGAAAUGCGAUACUUGGUGUGAAUUGCAGAAUCCCGUGAACCAUCGAGUCUUUGAACGCAAGUUGCGCCCCAAGCCGUUAGGCCGAGGGCACGCCUGCCUGGGUGUCACGCAUCGUUGCCCCCCUCCCCGAAACCCCUCUCCUCGAAAGAGACGAGGGGACUUGGCCGUGGGGGGGCGGAUAUUGGCCUCCCGUGUGCCGGACGGCUCGCGGUUGGCAUAAAUGCCAAGUCCUCGGCGACGCACGCCACGACAAUCGGUGGUUGCGAAACCUCGGUUGCCCGUCGUGUGCGGUCGUCGCGCAUCGAGGGCUCGAAAAAAUUGCCGGGCUCCGGCUCGACUUUCAACGCGACCCCAGGUCAGGCGGGGUUACCCGCUGAAUUUAAGCAUAUCAAUAAGCGGAGGA
rnacentral:misc_RNA from 1 species